rnacentral:lncRNA from 1 species
CUUUUAUACUGCGCAUGCGCGAGCUAAACAAGUGUAAUGCAGUGUUGACAAUAGAAAAUUAUAUUGGGAAGUUGUCAUUUCUACAGUAAAAACAGCUUUUUUUUCAAGUAGUACGAAUUGUGACUUCGAUUUAUCUGUGGAACUAUUUGAACAGAAGGUAAAGCAGUAAUUUUGUUGUAUUUAGAAAGCAAACAGAGUCAUAUUUUUAAAAAUAUAGCGCACUGAAUAUAAAUUUGAGCAUCAUUAAAAUGUGUUCGCUAUGAUGCCAUUUUGUCUCCGGUAUAUACGGAGUUCUGCUUUUAUACUUGUGGAUAUUCGAAUUUAUUUGGCUCAAAAACACCAUUACUUCAAUAUCCCUUUCUUGUUUUUCCUUGGAUAGGUUUUAACAAGAUAGAACUCUAGAUCACUUGGGUCCAAAGACGCUAGAUUAUAAAAUCCUGAUGUGACUUGAUACUACAAAUAGAAUAUGUCUUAUGAUUUAAUACUACAAAUAAAAUGUCUUUUAAGUACAAACUUCAAUGAAUUGAUAAAGUGUAAGGAUAGUGUUUAAAGUUGCUUCAUGUGUAGAAGCUGAAUUACUUUAGUUUAUACACUGUAUGUUGUUGAGAUCACAUGUUGAUAUGACUUAAUACCAGCAACUUGCAAUAAGUGGUCUGUUCUGCUUGUUUAUAAUACUUUAGAGUUUGGACAUUAGAACAUUGUAAUUGCCUGACAGAGACUGUUAGGGCCUGUUUGUAUGGAAGCCGGGCUGGCCCGCUUAGCAAGACAGCCCGGUAAGGUAGGUAAGCAGGAUGAUUUCUCUUGUGUUUAUUUGAGAAAAUUUCAUUCCGCUUACCAGGACAAUUUUGUUGUUUUGAUAUUAUUUUGACAGUUGUUAAAAAUAGCUUGCGGCAGUAUCUUUGAACUUUCAUCCCGGCAACCGGGCUAGCCUGCUUAUGAUUGUUUAUGUGGAGAAAUUUCCAUCCUGGUCUUGGCAACCGGGCCUGCCCGCUUGUCCAUAGAAAUGAUAAUUUGUACUAUAAAAAUAACUAGACAGCGAGAUCUCCCUUANNNNNNNNNNNNNNNNNNNNUUUUCCUUGGAUAGGUUUUAACAAGAUAGAACUCUAGAUCCCUUGGGUCCAAAGACGCUAGAUUAUAAAAUCCUGAUGUGAUUUGAUACUACAAAUAGAAUAUGUCUUAUGAUUUAAUACUACAAAUAAAAUGUCUUUUAAGUACAAACUUCAAUGAAUUGAUAAAGUGUAAGGAUAGUGUUGCUUCAUGUGUAGAAGCUGAAUUACUUUAGUUUAUACACUGUAAAAUGUCGAGAUCACAUGUUGAUAUGACUUAAUACCAGCAACUUGCAAUAAGUGGUCUGUUCUGCUUGUUUAUAAUGUAUCGAUCAAUUCGAAACUUCGCCAUCCCCCCCCCCCGGGCCGACCCCGGGAAUUUGAACUUUUUGAAAUUUGACUGAUCAAAUUCUCCACCCUCUGUGCAAAAAAUGUCUUCAAAUGCCCAACUGAAACAAGAAAUUAAGCGUUCAAAUGCCCCACCUUCAUAUGAAAAUUAUGAAACAGUAAAUACAAAAAGUACAAAAUAUACGGAAAUGUUUUCGACAAGAUAGCGAAAUUCGCGUAAACAGUUUGGAUACCUUGUGGAAAUUUAACAGUUUUACACGUUAUGUAGUACAUACCUUCAAAUGAAACACAUAGAUUUUCCAUGCCCGUUUCUUUGAGCCAGUUUUUUCACAAAAUUGAGGCCGUUUCCCUCGAAAUCUGAGAAACCUGUAUUUGCCGCCAAUACGAAGUAUUUUCUGUGCAUGCAGGAAGCACGCGAAAACGGGCAACAUUUUAAGACUUCCGGUUCAAAUUCCCCACCCCGUUAUCAAAUGCCCCACCACAUGGAAGACUUAGAACGUCAAAUUCCCUACUCCCUGGAGAAGACUUGAAGUCAAAUUCCCGGGGUAUGCCCGGGGGGGGGGGAUGGUGAAGUUUCGAAUUGAUCGAUACAUAAUACUUUAGAGUUUGGACAUUAGAACAUUGUAAUUGCCUGACAGAGACUGUUAGGGCCUGUUUGUAUGGAAGCCGGGCUGGCCCGCUUAGCAAGACAGCCCGGUAAGGUAGGUAAGCAGGAUGAUUUCUCUUGUGUUUAUUUGAGAAAAUUUCAUUCCGCUUACCGGGACAAUUUUGUUGUUUUGACAUUAUUUUGACGGUUGUUAAAAAUAGCUUGCGGCAGUAUCUUUGAACUUUCAUCCCGGCAACCGGGCUAGCCUGUUUAUGAUUGUUUAUGUGGAGAAAUUUCCAUCCUGGUCUUGGCAACCGGGCCUGCCCGCUUGUCCAUAGAAAUGAUAAUUUGUACUAUAAAAAUAACUAGACAGCGAGAUCUCACUUACCGGGCUGUCUCACUUAGCGGGCCAGCCAGUUUCGAUAUAAACAGGCCCUUACACAACUGCCAAAAGCUGCAAGUUUCUUUAAAGCAAUAUCAUCUAUAUCACAGAAUACAGUUUCUGUAGUGACAUACUUCGUGUUUUUUCUGUCUUUAAAGUGUCUUAUGUUUGUAAUAUUUUUGUACAAUACCUUUUUGAAAUUGUUGAUACUGGUCUUAUUGUAACUCAGUAGUCUCAGUUAUUCCUUCUCAAGAAAAAU